CUCCCCCCUCCCCACAGCCAGCAGCGCAACCUGCCCGGGUCUACUUCCACACCGUAGAAGUUUUGUUCUUUUGCUCUUCACAACAAAUCUUAACUGCUGCUCACUCUUUGGGUCCACACCACCUUUAAGAGCUGUAACACUCACUGCAAGGGUCUGUGGCUUCAUUCUUGAAGUCAGCGAGACCACGAACCCACUGGAAGGAGCCAACUCCGGACACAGAGGGGAUGUCUUUCCCCCCUUAACCCUCAUAUCAUGUAGGAGAAAUUUGCAAUGAGGCAUGGCCCUAACACACUGAGGAUAAUUGUGACCAAUGGGAAAAUUUCCAGAAACUUUGUAAGAGGCCAAGUCUGUAGAAGAUAACGGGGAAGUCGAUUGCCUCAGAAAUUGGAGAGCUUUCUUAAAGAAAUACAAUCGGAUAAAAGUUAAAGAACUUCUUAUUACGCUCCCAGUUAAACAGCUUCCGCACACCUUGGAAAGCUUUGCACCUUAUAGCACUCAGGUGUGUUAUGCUUUUAAUUAAAUGUGGUGUUUGCUGUCAUUUCUGUAAGUCCUCAAGCAGUAGACCCUUGGACCGACACAGAAUCCCAUUAAAGCCUUGCUUCCAUGGGAAAAUCAGAUUAUCCUCACCUCCUUUUGAACUACAAUGCCUUCCCCAGGAAUAUAAUUCAUGGUAAAUAUAAGGUCAUCUUGUACAUUUGGUAAUAGCUGCUCCUUCCUCUUCAGUGGUUAAGGUUAAAAUGCUGGGCUUGGUUCUUGGGGAGUGACUGCCCACGCCUACUGUUGGAAGUUCCUCCAUUAGUCAGGUUUGCCCUGGCCACUCUGAGAAGAUAGUGCUGGAAAAACUGCAGUCUUUCUCAUCUUACCUCCCCGACGUCUGAUCCUAGACUGACCUCUCAGAAAAGUGUUUGACCAACACUGUUCCAGCAGGUUUCCAUCUGCAUAAUAGCCUGGUGAUGUCUGGUAAGCACAAGCUGAGCGCACACCUUCUGGGGACUGAUGAGAUCUAGAAUAACCAAGAGAACGUAGACCUGCAUUUUCACUGAUUCCAUUGAACAGGCAUGGCCCCAACACUCCGCUUCUGUCUGAUACUCAUAAGGCACGCUCCAUUCUGAAGUUAC
rnacentral:lncRNA from 10 species